GCCGCCAACUCUGCCUCCAACUCCGCCUCCACGCAUGAACUGCCGCACUGGAUACUGGACACCGGUGCGACGGAUCACCUGACGAGUGAUCUUGACCGUCUUCACUUCCAUGAGCGCUAUGGCGGGAAGGAUCAAGUGAAAGUGGCGAACGGUGCAGGUUUGUCUAUUUCGCAUAUUGGUCAUUCCACUAUACCCGGUUCAUCUCUGCGUUUACGCAAUAUUCUUCGUCUUCCACAUAUACAUCAACAUCUAUUGUUCGUUUAUCGACUUGUUCUUGAUAAUGAUGUUUUUGUAGAAUUUCACUGUUUCUUUUUCCUUGUUAAGGACAUAGCCACGAAGAAAAUUCUUCUUUGCGGUAGAAGUCGUGGCGGCCUCUACCCCAUCCCGUUUGGUCGCGCGUCGUCUUCCUCCACUCGCCAAGCGUCUCUCAGUGUCAAGACCACCUCGUCCCAGUGGCAUCAGCGUCUCGGUCAUCCCUCCAAUAAAAUUGUUCAAGACAUUGUUAAGAGCAAUGAUUUAGCGUGUUCUUCUGAACGUCAUUUUUCAGUGUGUGAUGCUUGUUAG
rnacentral:rRNA from 1 species